rnacentral:tRNA from 1 species
GGGAAUAUGGCUUAGUGGUAGAGUGCUUGCCCUGCAUGCAUGAAGUCCUGGGUUCAAUUCCUCAGUACCA